UUUCCCUCAGGAUAGCUGGCGCUCUCGCUCUUCCCGACACACGCAGUUUUAUCCGGUAAAGCGAAUGAUUAGAGGUCUUGGGGCCGAAAGGAUCUCAACCUAUUCUCAAACUUUAAAUGGGUAAGAAGCCCGGCUCGCUGGCAUGGAGCCGGGCGUGGAAUGCGAGUGCCUAGUGGGCCACUUUUGGUAAGCAGAACGGGCGCUGCGGGAUGAACCG
rnacentral:ncRNA from 1 species